rnacentral:rRNA from 1 species
UAAGGAAUAUUGCGCAAUGGGGGAAACCCUGACGCAGCAACGCCGCGUGGAGGAUGACACUUUUCGGAGCGUAAACUCCUUUUAUCAGGAAAGAAUAAUGACGGUACCUGAUGAAUAAGCACCGGCUAACUCCGUGCCAGCAGCCGCGGUAAUACGGGGGGUGCAAGCGUUACUCGGAAUCACUGGGCGUCAAGGACGCGUAGGCGGAUUAACAAGUCUUUUGUGAAAUCUAGUGGCUUAACCACUAAACUGCUUAGGAAACUGAUAGUCUAGAGGAGGGGAGAGGUAGAUGGAAUUCUUGGUGUAGGGGUAAAAUCCGUAGAGUACAAGAAGAAUACCCAUUGCGAAAGCGAUCUGCUGGAACCUAACUGACGCUGAGGCGUGAAAGGGUGGGGAGCAGACAGG